rnacentral:rRNA from 1 species
UACAGAGGGGGCAAGCGUUGUUCGGAAUUACUGGGCGUAAAGGGCGCGUAGGCGGCCUGUUAAGUCGAACGUGAAAUCCCCGGGCUCAACCCGGGAACUGCGUCCGAUACUGGCAGGCUUGAAUCCGGGAGAGGGAUGCGGAAUUCCGGGUGUAGCGGUGAAAUGCGUAGAUAUCUGGAGGAACACCGGUGGCGAAGGCGGCAUCCUGGACCGGCAUUGACGCUGAGGCGCGAAAGCCAGGGGAGCAAACGGG